rnacentral:rRNA from 1 species
CAGCCGCCGCGGUAAUACAGAGGGUGCGAGCGUUAAUCGGAUUUACUGGGCGUAAAGCGUGCGUAGGCGGCUUCUUAAGUCGGAUGUGAAAUCCCUGAGCUUAACUUAGGAAUUGCAUUCGAUACUGGGAAGCUAGAGUAUGGGAGAGGAUGGUAGAAUUCCAGGUGUAGCGGUGAAAUGCGUAGAGAUCUGGAGGAAUACCGAUGGCGAAGGCAGCCAUCUGGCCUAAUACUGACGCUGAGGUACGAAAGCAUGGGGAGCAAACAGGAUUAGAUACCCCCGUAGUCCAUGUCUCUUAUAA